GUGUUCACUUCAGCAGCACAUAUACUAAAAAUUGGAAUAAUACAGAGAUUAGCAUGGCCCUUGCACAAGGAUGACAUGCAAAUUCGUGAAGCAUUCCAUAUGUAA